UCUGCGUGGUAUAAAUAGCCGGCGGGCGGGCCGCUGACGCUCUCGCUUGUACCGUUAUCGUGCAACACUUCAGCUCCGAUGCAGUUCACUCGCAGGUCAUUUUCUCUUUCAGCCGCAAUGCUGGGAUUUUAAAUAGCGGAGAUGAAAGGCUCUUGUCCCUGCCUCACAACUCCCUUGAGUUCAUAUAUUAUGAAUGAAAUGCCAACCUCGAGGCUUCCUGGGAUGCUCCACUUCAGGCCACCAUUAUUGGUCACCGUGAUGACUGUAAAAGCUUCCAAACUGAUCAGUACCCUUGCCCUCUACAAUCUGUCUCCAAACAUAUUCAACUCUAAAAUUUUUAUUGCUACCUUGGGCACCUUAACUUGAAGAAGACCAGCUGUUUGCAAGGAGAGGGGGAUUGGAUGAAAGAGUUUGAAAGAAAGGUCCUGCUCACUUACAGGAUGAGGAAAUACAGAUUCUGCCAUACAGAUUUGUCCACAAGAAUCUAACUAGAGAAGGUGAGAGGACUCCUACAUGAAAUGGUGGCCCUUGGGAAAUAAAGCUGCUUGAGAAAGAGGAUGUUACAUAAUGAGGUAAAGAAUAUAGAAGACCUCUGCUCUGUAUAAAGUGGGAUACAAAUGCUACGUAUCAGUGUUGCUUGAUCUGCAGGAAAUGACUUCCUCGUUACCUUUCAAAUUUGCCUUGACUGAAAGAUAAGGGCAUCUAGGCGUAAAGAAGAGGUGACUCUGGCAGACUCAAGCUCUCUGAUGUUUCAAGCUACAAAUAUGUGAACUGAAGUCACGGUCGAUUUGCACUUCUGGAUUUAAAAACAGAUAUUAUUUACAAACUAACUGCCUGACUGACAGAAGGACCCCAGUGGAAGCAGGAUGAGAGUAAACCAGGCUUUUCAGUGCAGUUACCCCUUGGCCUAACUCUUCUUUCAGAAAAUCUCUCUCUGGAAGGGAGGCUUCAAUAGUGGGUCCCCAUCCAGGCACUGAAAAGGCAACAUAAAACCCUCCUUUUGUAGGCAUCUCCCAAAAUAACUCUCAACAGGAUAUGGCUCAUUAUAUUAGUUCUGUAAUUUUAUUUUCUAAAUGAUGCUUGUCUUCAAAGCUUGGCUGGGGGAGCUAUAACUAAGAUAAACUGGGGUUCAAUGUUUUGUGACAAGACUGCCUUAGAUUUACUCAUGACUUUUUAAAAAUAUACAGUUUUUGAAAACCCAUGACACAAAA